UACGGAGGGUGCGAGCGUUGUCCGGAAUCACUGGGCGUAAAGGGCGCGUAGGCGGUCGUGACAAGUCACUUGUGAAAUCUCCGGGCUUAACUCGGAACGGUCAAGUGAUACUGUCGGACUAGAGUACAGAAGGGGCAACUGGAAUUCUCGGUGUAGCGGUGAAAUGUGUAGAUAUCGAGAGGAACACCUGCGGCGAAGGCGGGUUGCUGGGCUGAUACUGACGCUGAGGCGCGAAAGCCCAGGGGAGCGAACGGG
rnacentral:rRNA from 1 species